GAGAGAGGCUCGCAGCAACGAAGCUUGCUAUUCUUCGAAACCUUGGUUGGACCCCAAGGCUCACUCG
rnacentral:tRNA from 1 species